rnacentral:rRNA from 1 species
CACGUAGGGGGCAAGCGUUGUCCGGAUUUAUUGGGCGUAAAGAGCUCGUAGGUGGUUCGGUAAGUCGGGUGUUAAACCCCCAGGCUCAACCUGGGGACGCCACUCGAUACUGCUGUGACUAGAGUCCGGUAGGGGAGCGUGGAAUUCCUGGUGUAGCGGUGAAAUGCGUAGAGAUGUGGAGGAAUACCGAUGGCGAAGGCAGCCCCCUGGGCCAAUACUGACGCUCAUGCACGAAAGCGUGGGGAGCAAACAGG